AACGAACGCUGGCGGCAGGCCUAACACAUGCAAGUCGAGCGCCCCGCAAGGGGAGCGGCGGACGGGUGAGUAACGCGUGGGAACGUGCCUCUUGCUACGGAAUAGCCUCGGGAAACUGGGAGUAAUACCGUAUGUGCCCUACGGGGGAAAGAUUUAUCGGCAAGAGAUCGGCCCGCGUUGGAUUAGGUAGUUGGUGGGGUAAUGGCCUACCAAGCCGACGAUCCAUAGCUGGUUUGAGAGGAUGAUCAGCCACACUGGGACUGAGACACGGCCCAGACUCCUACGGGAGGCAGCAGUGGGGAAUCUUAGACAAUGGGCGCAAGCCUGAUCUAGCCAUGCCGCGUGAGCGAUGAAGGCCUUAGGGUUGUAAAGCUCUUUCAGUGGGGAAGAUAAUGACUGUACCCACAGAAGAAAGCCCCGGCUAACUCCGUGCCAGCAGCCGCGGUAAAAAGUAACUCUAAU
rnacentral:rRNA from 1 species